rnacentral:piRNA from 1 species
UGAUUGAGAGGUAGUCAGUGAUAAGACUC